UACGUAGGGUGCGAGCGUUAAUCGGAAUUACUGGGCGUAAAGCGUGCGCAGGCGGUUCGCUAAGACCGAUGUGAGAUCCCCGGGCUUAACCUGGGAACUGCAUUGGUGACUGGCGGGCUAGAGUGUGGCAGAGGGGGGUAGAAUUCCACGUGUAGCAGUGAAAUGCGUAGAGAUGUGGAGGAAUACCGAUGGCGAAGGCAGCCCCCUGGGCCGAUACUGACGCUCAGGCACGAAAGCGUGGGGAGCAAACAGG
rnacentral:rRNA from 1 species